rnacentral:rRNA from 1 species
UGGGGAAUUUUGCACAAUGGGCGCAAGCCUGAUGCAGCGACGCCGCGUGAGGGAUGACGGCCUUCGGGUUGUAAACCUCUUUCGACAGGGACAAAGGGUGACUGACGGUACCUGUAGAAGAAGCACCGGCUAACUACGUGCCAGCAGCCGCGGUAAUACGUAGGGUGCGAGCGUUGUCCGGAAUUAUUGGGCGUAAAGAGCUCGUAGGCGGUUUGUCGCGUCGGCUGUGAAAACUGGAGGCUUAACCUUCAGCUUGCAGUCGAUACGGGCAGACUUGAGUUCGGUAGGGGAGACUGGAAUUCCUGGUGUAGCGGUGAAAUGCGCAGAUAUCAGGAGGAACACCGGUGGCGAAGGCGGGUCUCUGGGCCGAUACUGACGCUGAGGAGCGAAAGCGUGGGGAGCGAAC